UGACUUGAUAGCUCAGCUGGGAGAGCACCAUCUUGACAGGGUGGGGGUCGUCGGUUCGAGCCCGGCUCAGGUCAU
rnacentral:tRNA from 1 species